GUCACUGUUUGUAAAUAUUCGUUUAGGCAAAUGUGAGGUUUGCGGAACGAGCCGAAGGCGAGUGGAGUAAUCACACGUUCCUAAACAAGUAUUUACAAGCGGGCACCCUAAAAAUUUCGGGAAUCGGGCAUUUCCGACGCAUAAAAUUAUUUAAUUUGAACAUAUUGGUAAAUUUCAACAUUUUUAAAGUAAAAUGACGUUUUAACAUAGUAAAAAAAAGUUUUUGAUGUGAGUUGAGGAACAUUUAUAAAAAGGCUUGUCGGCCAUUAUUGAAAAUGGAGGAAUUCAUUUUCUGAUGUGCUGUUCGUUUUUUAUUUUUAUUUAAACAAUUAUUUUUUAUUAAAAUAUUUUCAUGUUUACAUGUAAAGUAUGGUCCAUCUAAAUGGUAAUAACCUCAAUAUCUCAGAAGCGGAAAAAGGUUCUGCCUCGACAGGGAUGGAAUUUCAUAACUGAAACAUAAGCUAUUGUUUCACAAGGAAACAGGCCAUGUUACAUCUCAAAUUUUCUGAAAAAAAAACUGAUCCAUCUUGUAGGGCCGCUCUCGCAGUGAAACUGCAUGUGAACCUAAUUCUUCCGAUUUUUCCGAAAAUUGCUGAUGAAAUCUGUUACCAAUUUAGCAAUAUGUUCAAAUCAAAUACUUUCAUGAAUCGGGUAAUUCCCGAUUCCCGAAACUUUUAGGUUGCCCCUCGUACUCACGAGGCUCACGAUACUUUUUGUUCAACAGUGCUAUCAAAGUUGUGCAUAAAUGGAUUCAUAAAUGGAAUGCUGUACAUAAUAGUUAUUUAUGUAACAAGAAUCAUAUGCAGGUAUAUUAUCGCACUAGACGUCAGAUUGCCAAUCCGAGGCAAAUAAAAUAUCAAAUAUUAUCACUGAAUUGCACAAAAUCUUGUUGCUAACACGUUAGUAAAUGUGGGCUUUGCGCAUACUAUGUGUUGCCGAGUUCGCCAUCGGUUCGUAUCGGCAAUCUCACGUAUAUUGCGCAAAACAACCCAUUUACUAACUAGUUAUUAAAAUGCUAUUAUUAUGCUCUAGAUUCGAUUUUGUUUCAUAUUGUCGGUGAUAAAAUCAAAUUGAUUGUCAUAUCAAAACAAUAGAUUCAGAGAGUAAGCUGUAAAACAAAGGUAACUGACUCGGUUAUACUCGAUCAAGGUCGCAGAGGGUAAGGUAAUUUUGGGUGAAAAGCACUAAAAAGUACGGUGGUUAAGUAGAUUCCGGUGAAUUUCCAAUAAAAGCUGAUAAAUAUGAGUGAUAAGAAUCUGGGCGAAUUCAAAUACAGGUAAAUGUUGUAACAAGAUUUCUCUCCCAGCCCGAGUCUUUUUCCUUUUUCAUUCGUCGGUAAAUUUGUAAUUGCUUUUAUGAGAGUUGGUUCUACGAGAAAGCUUUUGCCUGAAAAACAUUGUCUUCUAAUUUUAAUGUACCAUCUCUUAGGCCUGCUCUAACUCCUCUACAAUUUGGAAGAAGAUGUAUCCUCAAAACGUUUGUCCAUAUGAUUGUGUUUCCCUCUUCGUGAUGAUUUAGUGGCUGCCGAUAAUUACAUUACGUAUCUAGACAAUGGACCUUUUUUGGAAAUUUUUCCACAUUUUCCUAGACUUUUUCCCAUUAUUUCCUUAAUUUUCUAAGAAAAAAAAUUGAAAAAUUUGGAAUAAUUUAGGAAAAUUUGGGAAAAUAAGUCCCUGAAUUCUAAACUAUCCUGCGUGUGAUCCAAAGAUGCACUCAUUAGAAAUGUAUAAAAAAUAAUUUAAUUGUAUUGGCCUUAGGUAUAACUAAAACUAUUUUAGAGACUAGUAGCACAGAUGAAUUGAAAAUAAAAAGAAAUUAUGAAAAAGAAAAAAAAUUAAAAAAAUUUUAGAUAGAUAAAAAUGAAAUGAAAUUAAAUGUUUUUGAUGUUCUAUUGAAUCGUUGAAGUGUAUAAUACAUUAAAUAUAAAUAGGUCAUUGUGUUCAAAUUUUGUCUCCGCGAAAUUGUAAUUUUCCAUAAAAUUCCAACUACAUCAUUACUCUGAUCAUUUAUAUCGAAACGAAAUCAGAUUGGACACUAAAAUUUGUUCGACAAUAAACACGGUUAUAAAACGAAGAAUGGAAAAACAUUGUCAAAAGAUCGAAAGGAGAAUUGAGUGUAAGACCAAACUUGAACACAAUUGACGGCUGCAAAAAGUAUAUAUUUAGAGAAAUAUAAUUAUUAAAACAAUUAAAAACAAAGAACAUAUUAUAUUAAACGACACAGUAUAGUGUGUUGAUACUUAACCGUGUAACCGAAAAAUGUAAAAUGUUAUUUUUAGUUAUAAAAUUGUAAAGAGCAAAUUUAAUUACACGGAUUAACUACAUAGCUAUAUAAAUACCUGGCCCAGGAACAUAGUUGUGAAAGUAGUUCCAUUUCGCCAUUGAUUAAAGACGAAUAAAUUUUUU